rnacentral:rRNA from 1 species
AAACUUUACAAUGCUGGCAACAGCGAUAAGGGAACCUCGCGUGCCAGGUUACAAAUCUGGCUGUCGAGAUGCCUAAAAAGCAUUUCAUAGCAAGGGCCGGGCAAGACCGGUGCCAGCCGCCGCGGUAACACCGGCGGCUCGAGUGGUAACCGUUAUUAUUGGGUCUAAAGGGUCUGUAGCCGGCCGGAUAAGUCUCUUGAGAAAUCUGGCAGCUUAACUGUCAGGCUUUCAGGAGAUACUGUCUGACUCGAGGCCGGGAGAGGUGAGAGGUACUUCAGGGGUAGGGGUGAAAUCUUGUAAUCCUUGAAGGACCACCAGUGGCGAAGGCGUCUCACCAGAACGGACCUGACGGCAAGGGACGAAAGCUAGGGGCACGAACCG